rnacentral:rRNA from 1 species
CACAUGCAAGUCGAGCGGGCGUAGCAAUACGUCAGCGGCAGACGGGUGAGUAACGCGUGGGAACGUACCUUUUGGUUCGGAACAACACAGGGAAACUUGUGCUAAUACCGGAUAAGCCCUUACGGGGAAAGAUUUAUCGCCGAAAGAUCGGCCCGCGUCUGAUUAGCUAGUUGGUGAGGUAAUGGCUCACCAAGGCGACGAUCAGUAGCUGGUCUGAGAGGAUGAUCAGCCACAUUGGGACUGAGACACGGCCCAAACUCCUACGGGAGGCAGCAGUGGGGAAUAUUGGACAAUGGGCGCAAGCCUGAUCCAGCCAUGCCGCGUGAGUGAUGAAGGCCCUAGGGUUGUAAAGCUCUUUUGUGCGGGAAGAUAAUGACGGUACCGCAAGAAUAAGCCCCGGCUAACUUCGUGCCAGCAGCCGCGGUAAUACGAAGGGGGCUAGCGUUGCUCGGAAUCACUGGGCGUAAAGGGUGCGUAGGCGGGUCUUUAAGUCAGGGGUGAAAUCCUGGAGCUCAACUCCA